AAAACUACAGUAGUAAAAAUGCACAAGUCAGUAGGCUCAGCAGUGAGGCAAGAGGAUGCCAAAGGGAAAUUUCAUCGUCACACUAGUAUGGAUGCUGUCUGCCAUGUGUCUUUGAGACAGGAUGACUGUGUGCUUGUUUCUGGUUGCCCUGGACAACAAGAACAUAUAUGUGUAUGGAUAGACGGCAAAGAUAACUGUUUUACUACCAAGAAGUUCUUCAUGCUUUAAUCGUUUUUUGAUCAGUAAAUAGUCUGCAGUUUGUGCACUUGCUUUUUUUCUGUCAUCAUGGCUACUUUAGCAGUGCAAAUGUGCCAGUGUGAGAUUUUAUACACACACACUCAUGCACGCACAUAUACAAUUGUUUCUUUUUUUUUAAACUUUGCCUGACUUGCAAAAAUUAUAGCAAUAAUCAGACUUAACAGGCAUGAACCUAGCCUGGUGAACAUGGAGACUCCAAUGUCUAACUGCUCAAAUAUGUUUAAUUCAGACACCAUGGCUCCUACAGACAUGAAAAGAUAGAAAAGACUGAACUAAAUAUACAAGCAUGGGAGCUGGCCUUGGUAAGAUCCAGAAAUCAACUCAACACAAUAGGAAUAAAGAACACACAUGCAGAAGUUUGGAGGAUGAUGCUACAAAUCUGGAGGUCUUGCAUCUCUCUAUCCUGGUAGGUAAGGCAGACUAGGCAAAGCUGGGCCUGCAGGAAAAUGAGAGAAAUGUAUAGCAAACAUUAUGGAGAACUGGGAAUCGGGACAGAAAAGAGAAGCUGGGCCUGCUCUGGAUCAGCUGAGGUCAGAAGACAACCACCUAAGUGCAAGUCCAAGCCCCCAGUCCACAGAAUGGUGUUGACCACUUUCAGACUGGGUCUUCUGUUUCCCUGAUAGCGCCUCAUAGCCAUGCAGAGGCAUGCUUCCAGACGAGAUGACAAUGAACAAUUGACGACUGGCACUAAAUCUGAAGCACAAACAGGACAAGUCUAGUAGACAGUGGGGACUGAAAUGAUCAAAACCAAAGAGAAAGCUGAGGCCAGAUUCAUAUACUUAUUUGUGUCUAAAAUUAUCAAUAGUAUUUCAAAGUCUCCCUCCUGAUGAUCCCUGUUGACGACCUAGAAGUGAAUCAAGCAUCCAAGAACCAGAAAAUGCAGAGCAAAGAACAACAAGGCAAAAACAGAGCCAUUGGCAACGAUGUCUACAACACUCACAAUUACCUGGAGGAGCCACUAUGGAACUCAGAACAAGAACCGUCGGGGACAUUCAAGAACUAGGGCUGUAUUAACAGCCAGCAUCACAAAGAAGACUCAUGACAGACUGGCAGGCAAUGCCAGGCACCAAAAGUCAAUAAAGACAGUAAAGUAAAGAGAAACCAUCAAAUGGCAUCAAUAUAGUCCCCUGCUGUGCUGCAGAUUUCUAGCCGAAGGAAGGGAAGCCCAUCCAGGUAGAUUUGUCAAAGACUGUUUAACAUGGACCACUGAAACAGCAUCCACGGACCUCUGUCUCACACAGCAAGACAUUUCUACAGUUCUCAGGCCCUACCAAUCAUUUGUAUGGCAAGAUUGUCAAUCUCAGUCAAGGCCUUUCAUCAGGGCUCCUGUCCUCUUAAGUCAUCAUCCCUUAAGUAACCUCAAGAAAAAGCAGCAGCAGCAGCAGCAGCAGCAGCAGCAGCAGCAGCAGCAGCAGCAGCAGCAGCAGCAGCAGCAGCAGCAGCAGCAGCAGGUCCAACCACAGGGCAGACAGUGCUCUUCUCUACCUGAGGUUUUAUAACCCAAGAAGAAAGUGUAUGUACUUAAUAUGUUCAGGGUCAUUGACUAUAUCCUGUUUUAACACCCUCCCAGAAAGGGAAGCAAACACAAAAAGUAAACAGCAAUCCUCUGUA